GACGAACGCUGGCGGCGUGCCUAAUACAUGCAAGUCGAGCGGACUUUCAAGAAGCUUGCUUUUUGAAAGUUAGCGGCGGACGGGUGAGUAACACGUGGGCAACCUGCCUGCAAGACGGGGAUAACUCCGGGAAACCGGGGCUAAUACCGGAUAAUAUCUUCCUUCGCAUGAAGGAAGGUUGAAAGGCGGCGCAAGCUGCCGCUUGCAGAUGGGCCCGCGGCGCAUUAGCUAGUUGGUGAGGUAACGGCUCACCAAGGCGACGAUGCGUAGCCGACCUGAGAGGGUGAUCGGCCACACUGGGACUGAGACACGGCCCAGACUCCUACGGGAGGCAGCAGUAGGGAAUCUUCCGCCAUGGACGAAAGUCUGACGGAGCAACGCCGCGUGAGCGAAGAAGGUCUUCGGAUCGUAAAGCUCUGUUGUCAGGGAAGAACAAGUACCGUUCGAACAGGGCGGUACCUUGACGGUACCUGACCAGAAAGCCACGGCUAACUACGUG
rnacentral:rRNA from 1 species